CUCAAACCAAUUCGAAAUGCAUAAGAAAUAGCAACCUUCUCAUGAAGGCUACAUUGUGAGAACUAAUUUUAAAACACCCAGAUUAAUUAGGAGAUGCCUGUCAAGCAGCUAUUCUUCACACCUGCAGUUUUUGGGGAGCUGUGUUGCCUGCUGCAGUCAGAAACCACACAGACAGGAUUCGUCUGGUGCCAGACAAGACGUUUGCAGCAGAUACCUGGCUCACGCUCUCUCGACUCCCAGUACUGAAAUGGAGGCUGCUGAGUCACAGGUGGAUGUGGCAAUAUUACUUGCCUGCACCUAACGACCCCCUGAACUGUGUGCCUUGCUUGGUCGUUUCAGAGGACGAUUAAGAGUCAGUCACAUGUAGACCAUGAUUUGAUGAUGCCGGUGUUGGACUGGGAUGGACAAAGUUAAA